AAACUUACAUUUUGUACUUUUGUAACAUAGUACAGUGGUACCUCGGGUUACAGACGCUUCAGGUUACAGACACUUCAGGUUACAGACUCCGCUACAGAAAUAGUACCUUGGAUUAAGAACUUUGCUUCAGGAUGAGAACAGAAAUCGUGCAGCGGUGGCAUGGCGGCAGUGGGAGGCCCCAUUAGCUAAAGUGGUACCUCAGGUUAAGAACAGUUUCAGGUUAAGAACGGACCUCCAGAACGAAUUAAGUUCUUAACCCGAGGUACCACUGUAGUUAUAAACCUGCCUUCAUUUUGCUACUAUAGGUGAUGUUUCAAGACCUAGAUUAUGUCAACUCUGAGUAAAACUUAGUUGGAUACAACCCAAUGUCCUCUUAGCUGCCUUCAGAAACACCCUACUGUGGAUGCCUCCUAUAUAGCAGAUCAACGACCAGAGAGUCUGUCAGGUCAACGUUUAUGGGCGGAAAUCAGUUGAUGAUGAGCCUUUAAGGCUGGCUGGAGCUGCACCCCACUAUCAAACCUUUCGCAACAUCUGCUGUGCAGAGCACAAGAAUAAUCUCGUUGGGGCAAAGGAGGUCUCUUUGCGACAUCAGGAAGAAGAGAAGACUGGGCAGGCACUUACCUCGAAAUCCAGGUCAGAGUACCGCAGUCUUUUUCUCUGGGGAGGGAUGUAGGCAUAUCACAAAGGAAACGGAUGCAAAAAAAGGGGGGAAAGGAAGGGAGGGAAAGAAGCCUUUACUAAU